GAUGAACGCUAGCGAUAGGCUUAACACAUGCAAGUCGAGGGGCAGCACAAGGUAGCUUGCUAUCUGGGUGGCGACCGGCGCACGGGUGCGUAACGCGUAUGCAACUUGCCCUAUACAGGAGGAUAACCCGUCGAAAGACGGACUAAUACUGCGUAUGCUCACAACUUGGCAUCAAGUGGUGAGGAAAGAAAUUCGGUAUAGGAUAGGCAUGCGUCCCAUUAGCUUGUUGGUGAGGUAACGGCUCACCAAGGCAACGAUGGGUAGGGGAACUGAGAGGUUUAUCCCCCACACUGGUACUGAGACACGGACCAGACUCCUACGGGAGGCAGCAGUGAGGAAUAUUGGUCAAUGGGCGCGAGCCUGAACCAGCCAAGUCGCGUGAAGGAGGACUGUCUUAUGGAUUGUAAACUUCUUUUAGACGGGAAUAACAAGAGUCACGUGUGACUCCCUGCAUGUACCGUAUGAAUAAGCAUCGGCUAACUCCGUG
rnacentral:rRNA from 1 species